CGGGCCGUGCCGGGCCGGGCCGGGCCGGGCCGGGCCGGGCCGGGCCGGGCCGGGCCGGGCGGGUCGCGGUGCCCCGCGGCUGCUGCCCGCCCCGCUGGCUCGGGGGCUGCCGUGGCCGCUGGAGCCGCCCAGGGCCCCGCUCGGGGCACGCCGCGUGUCCCGGAGCCCGGAGCGGCGGGCGGCCCGGCGGGGGCUGCGGCACUGCCGGGGGCUGAUGCUGCUUCCCUUGGUGGCCGAGAGCGGCAGCGUGGCAGGGCUGAGUCACAGGGGCUGGCUGCGUGCCACUCCGUAGAAGUCGUGCCUUGGACUUUCUAUUAGGCAUUCCUUUCAAGAAAGUAUCGUUGGUUGUUUUGGCACCCUCCGGUCCUUGCUGUUGCACCUUACUCAGUUCUUCACAAUUCUCGCAUUCAGGUGCUGUAGGAUCACCCCUGUGGUCACUGAUCCUCUGGUGAGUGGUGCACCCCUGGUGAUCCCCUGGAGCUCAGAGUGAGCCCCUCUGCUGCUGCUGUGUGAGUCUGCAGUAAAACCUCUCCCGAGGAAAAGGAACGUGUUCCAGCAGCCUGCAGUGGAAUGGGCAGUGGUUGGAAGGGCUUUGUUGAGUGUGAGUGAAGCCCGCAGGGGCGGUGUGUGGUCUGCGGGUGCAGCCCUGGCAGCUGGCUGUCCCCAGUGGGGUGCUGCUCACCAGGCCCCACCUGGUGUCUGCCAGGUGCACAUUCCUCUCACGCACCUCCACAGCCUGCGGGCUGCUCCUGAGCUGCUGUGCAGGUCAGCCUGGGCGUGCAGCAGGCAUUUCAUCUCCCAGCACAGCCCCGGGCUGGCCUUUGGUCCCCUCUGUGUUCUAGACUCGGCCCAGGUAACCCUUGGUGCUUCCCCAGAGCGGUGCUGCAGCUCCUGGAAACUCUGGGGAGGAUCUCUGAGUGCUUCCAGCCUCUUGUCCUGGGAGCUGUCUGUCCAUGGCUGCUUAGCCCAUCCUUUGGAAACUGGAUAACUGAGCUCCCCUGGAAGCUUUUAAGCCAUUUCUCCACUUGUUCUUGCUGCUGCUUUCAGUGCCCAUCUGAUUCCCCCUCCUGGAAGUACUCUGGGAGCAGAGCUAGCACAUCACCCAGCUUGCUGUGAGCCAGCCGGCAUCAGUCACGGGCUGGCAAAUUCUCUUCAAAACCAGCUGUAAGAGUUGCUGAAAGGCCCCAGUGUCACUGCAGAAAUAUUUUAUUUCCUUGAUCUGUGCUCAGGUUUUGGGUAUGAUGUGGGCUUGCUCGCCUUCAUCACUUCUGUAACAAACCCACAUCUGAAUUAUUCACAUUACACUUACUCCCAACAUGCCAGUAGCCAAUUCUAUAAAGGCCAGACUGUAAUGUUGGUUUUAAUCCUAUCUAUUUAAUCCCAACUCACUGCUGGAUUGAGGUGUGUGUUGUUUUUUUCAGUGACACAAUGAAAUUGCUCUCCAUUUUGAAAUGCUACACUAUGCUAUUAAUUGCUGCUGUUCCUGAAGAAGGAAAUGUAUCACGUUCAAAGUAACAAACAAUCUUUAUGCUGUUGAGUUUAAAUAUGGAAUGUGAUCUCUCAAGUGCCAGUGCCCUACUACAUGUAUUAAUUUAAUCUCUCCUAUUACCAGCCAGCUCUAGGUAAUUAGUUAGUCUGCAGUGCAAGGAGUCUGUGGGAAGUAACUGAAAGAAUCAAAUUGGUUUUCUUGGAAAUGAAUUCUGGUGCAUGGCUACAGACCACUGAGGGAUCUGUGGGCUGGAAAGUUUGAAAAUCCCUGGCUGAGGAUUUAGGCACAGAAGUUAAAUAAAUCAUGAGAGGAUGCAACACAUAAUAUUUGAAUUAUGAAGUGUUGCAUUGCAUUGGGUGGUUGUGCUUCAUGAAUGGUAGUGGUUUAGAUUUUCAGGAAAAAUAUUAAUGUAUUAAUGUUUUCCUGAAACAAGGUUUGGUUGGGCAACAUGAAGGGAUCACAAUGCAGCAGGGUCUAGGCAAAAUAUAAUCAUCAGAGUUAGCUGAUUAAUUUGAUUUUCAAAAUGAUCAAGCAUAUUUUAAAAACAAUUUCAGGAUGAUUUGGUGCUGUCUUAAAAAUGCCAAAAUAAAAAUCAGCUGAAAAGCAUAAA